UCUGAUGAUAGCAAUGGAGCGAGAAGCAAAACUAAACUUAGAAACACUAAAUCUCUUCUAAACAGAUAGCAAAUCUAAAAUAAAACAAAAUAAACUCAGUGCAAAAUCCAUGAAUUAGAGGCAACAAUUAACCUCAACCCACAUUCCAUGUCCUACAACAACGAGAUAUUUACUUUGUCAAUGCAAUCAAACACAAAAUCGAACAAACUAAUGUGCAAAAAUAGAAAAUUGUACAUACAAUGACAGGGGCGCGACGAGUAGGCGGCGCUGGUCGCGGUGGCUAGGGUAAGCAGACGAGAGGGGCGGCGACGAGCAGGUGGCGCUUCUCGCCGUGGCUAGGGUUAGCAGACAAGAAGGGCGGCGCGACGUGGCAGGCGGUGCAGUAGCGGCGCCUAGGGAUAGCAGAUGACAGGGGUGGCAAAAUUAAGGCUUCCUUCCCUUUCAUGUUUCAGUUGAUUUCUUUGAUUGAGAGAGGUGAAUCGAGAGAGAGGGUCCGAGAAAGUAGAUGCGGCGCCAGAAUCGGAAGCAACAACUGCUCGUCGGCGGCGGCAUCAACCGCUGCAGUGAGGAUUCCGAUUUGGAAGAAAGUUAGGAUUUUCUCUUGCGUUUUCUUCACUAGUUUGAGAGAGACA
rnacentral:lncRNA from 1 species